rnacentral:rRNA from 1 species
UUCAGGUAUAGGUGGGGUACGGCCCACCUAGCCUACGACGGGUACGGGCCCUGAGAGGGGGAGCCCGGAGAUGGGCACUGAGACAAGGGUCUAGGCCCUAAGGGGCGCAGCAGGCGCGAAGAUUCCGCAAUGCCCGAAAGGGCGACGGAGUGAACCCGAGUGCCACCCGCUGAGGGUGGCUGUUCCCCUGUGUAAAAAGCAGGGGGCAGGAAGGGGAGGGCAAGGCUGGUGGCAGCCGCCGCGGUAAAACCAGCUCCCCGAGGGGUUCCCACGCAUACUGGGCCUAAAGCGUCCGUAGCCGGCCCUGUAAGUCUGCAGUUAAAUCCGCCUGUAGACAGGCGGGUUGCUGCAGAUACUGCAGGGCUAGGGAGCGGGAGGAGCCGGGGGUAUUCCCGGGGGAGCGGUAAAAUGCGUAGAUCCCGGGAGGACCACCAGUGGCGAAGGCGCCCGGCUUGAACGCGUCCGACGGUGAGGGACGAAAGCUGGGGGAGCAAACCGGAUUAGAUACCCGGGUAGUCCCAGCCGUAAACGAUGCCGGCUAGGUGCUGGCCAAGGUUUCGGCCUUGGCCAGUGUCGAAGCGAAGGCAUUAAGCCGGCCGCCUGAGGAGUACGGCCGCAAGGCUGAAACUUGAAGGAAUUGACGGGGGGGCACCACAAGGGGUGAAUGCCUGCGGCUUAAUUGGACUCAACGCCGGGAAUCUUACCGGGGGCGACAGCAGGAUGAAGGUCAGGCUGAAGACCUUACCAGACGCGCUGAGGGGUGGUGCAUGGCCGUCGCCAGCUCGUGCCGUGAGGUGUCCUGUUAAGUCAGGCAACGAGCGAGACCCCCGCCCCUAGUUGCCAGCGGCCUCCUUCGGGAGGGACCGGGCAAACUAGGGGGACCGCCUCCGAAGAGGAGGAGGAAGGUGGGGGCUACGGCAGGUCAGUAUGCUCCUAAUCCCCCGGGCCGCACGCGGGCUGCAAUGGGCGGGACAGCGGGAUG